CCCGGCGAAGAAUUAAACUAAGUCACAGCGUAACUCUUUCUCUCUCUUCGGUGCUCCCCUCUUGGUUUAUCUCUCUAGCUUCUUCUAUGGUGGGAACAAACCCUAAUUCAUUUCUCUUCCCUCCUUGGCGGGAUAAAAUUCUGAACUCAAUCGACACACUUUGUAUUUCAUGAAUCCUUUCAUGGAAUCGGAAAAGCUCUUAAUUUCACGAGGAAACCCUAGAACUUUAGCAUAUACAUCCGACCGCCCACUCCCCACCACCACCGGUAGGGCUAUGCCCAAUGAGUUGCCACAAAAGCCUUCCCCUUCAAUAGCUCACCGGUUUAGAGCUCAGCUAAAGCAGCGGGAUGACGAAUUCAGGGUUUCCGGCCUUGAUGUUGCGCCCCUUCCUACCACUGAGGAUAUCGUGCAGUUGUACGAGCUCAUGUUGUCGGAGCUCACUUUUAAUUCGAAGCCCAUCAUUACGGAUCUUACUGUUCUUGCUGAAGAGCAGAGAGAACAUGGGAAGGGCAUUGCCGACUUAAUUUGUUCGCGUAUUUUAGAGGUUCCGGUUGACCAAAAACUUCCUUCAUUAUAUCUGUUGGACAGCAUCGUUAAGAAUGUUGGGCACGAAUACAUCAAUUAUUUCUCGUCUCGUUUACCUGAGGUGUUUUGCGAGGCUUACAGGCAAGUUCAUCCUAAUUUGCACAAUGCAAUGCGUCACCUCUUUGGGACAUGGUCAACUGUGUUUCCACCUUCCAUCCUUCGAAAGAUCGAGGCUCGACUUUCUCAGCUAACAACACAAGAGACCUCAGCUUUGACAUCCUCGAGGGCUUCUGAAUCUCCUCGACCAACUCAUGGCAUUCAUGUCAAUCCAAAAUACUUGCGUCAACUGGAACACUCAGUGGGGGAUAAACUUUUAGCUCUGCAGCAUAUCCCAGAUGCAAGAGGGGCCUCAACUCUAAAAGUUCAUGAUAAAAAACUUGCUCCCGGAUAUGAAGAGUAUGACUAUGAUCAUGCAGAUGGUCUUGAACAUGGUGGAUCUCAAGCGUUUAAUUCAAUGGGAAGCAUGAGCCAUGAUUCUUUUUCUCUUGGAACAAAUAAAGCAAAUAUAAAGCUAGCAAAAUCGUCUUUGUCUUCAAGGAUUGGACACAAUAGACCUCUACAAUCAGUUGGUGAUGAACUUGAAGCGGUUAGAGCCUCACCAUCACAGAAUGUAUAUGAUUAUGAAGGUUUUAGAAUGAUUAAUAGGAAUGAGGAUACUAAUAAAUGGAGGAGAAAACAAUAUCCUGACGAUAAUCUUAAUGGACUUGAAAGUACUUCAUUUAAUAUUAGAAAUGGAUGUGCACUUGAGGGACCAAGAGCUUUAAUUGAAGCAUAUGGAAGCGAUAAAGGAAAAGGUUAUUUAAAUGACAAUCCACCACAGGCUGAACAUUUUUCUAUGAAUGGUAUAGACAACAAGAUGACUCCUGUAACGUGGCAGAACACUGAAGAAGAAGAGUUUGAUUGGGAAGAUAUGAGCCCCACAUUAGCUGACAGAGGCAGAAGUAAUGAUAUGUUGAAGCCACCUGUCCCGCCUUCAAGAUUUAGGACAAGAUUAGGAUUUGACAGAUCAAAUGCUAUGUCUAUAGAGCCUGGAAUGAGAAGCAAUUCGUCUCAUCAGGAUGCUUGGAGUAUGCACAGUCACCUUUCUCAGACAUCCCAGAACCUCAUGAGCACUAAAGGAACGGGAGGAAAUUUCCAGAUACCUUUAUUGGGGAGAGGCAUAGCUUCAUCUGGAGGUGAGAAGAUGUCUCCUUUUGUUGACAAGCUUCCGACCAAUGAUGCUUUACAUAGGCCUACCGUUGCUUCAAGAUUGGGUUCUUCUGCUCUUGACUCUAGCAUGGAGUCACAAUCAGUUGUACAGUCUAUGGGCCAAAGGCAUCCUGUGAAUCUUUCGGACUCUUGCCCACCCUCUAGGCCCCCUUUUCAUGUGCCAGGACACAAUAAGAGUCAGUUUGAGUCUUUAAAUGGUAGCAAUGCUUUCAUCAAUCGUGCAAAUAGGUCUUUUUUGCCUGAGCAGCAGAUGAAUAACGUGAGAAAUAAGGAGCUAAGUCAUACAACUAAGUCCCCACAAGUUGGUAAUCAACAUGGUGGGCGUAUUCUUUUGACUCAGGGAAAUCAAUUGCAGACCAUCCCUUUAAAACCACAAUUUCUACCAUCUCAGGACAUGCAUGAUAGUUUUAGUGCAUCAGCAGUACCUCCAGUGUUACCACAUUUAAUGGCUCCAUCUUUGAGUCAAGGAUACAGUUCUCAAGGACUUCGCCCUGGUAUUAGUGAGUGUUUGUCAAGUUCUGUCCCUAUUGGGCAAUGGAACUUGCCUGUUCAUAAUAGCCCCAGUAAUCCAUUGCAUUUACAAGGGCCGCUGCCACCCCUUCCAGCUGGACCUCAUCCUACUAUCUCUCAAAAUGCAGGAUCCCUUGUUCCUGGCCAGCAACCUGGAACUGCAUUUUCUGGCCUGAUAAGCUCUCUCAUGGCCCAGGGUUUGAUCUCAUUGAACAAUAAAGCUUCCGUACAGGAUUCUGUUGGGGUAGAAUUCAAUCCAGAUGUACUCAAGGUGCGACAUGAUUCUGCAAUAACUGCUCUAUAUGCUGAUCUUCCUAGACAAUGCAUGACCUGUGGUCUUCGAUUCAAGACCCAGGAAGAGCAUAGUAAUCAUAUGGAUUGGCAUGUCACUAGAAAUCGCAUGUCAAAAAGUAGGAAACAAAAGCCUUCUCGAAAGUGGUUUGUAAGUACAAGCAUGUGGCUUAGCGGUGCAGAGGCUUUGGGAACAGAGGCAGUUCCAGGAUUUUUGCCUGCGGAGGUCAUUGUAGAGAAAAAGGAUGAUGAAGAACUGGCUGUGCCCGCUGAUGAGGAUCAGAAAACGUGUGCAUUAUGUGGAGAACCUUUUGAUGAUUUUUACAGUGAUGAAACAGAGGAGUGGAUGUAUAGGGGUGCUGUCUACAUGAAUGCACCUGAUGGACAAACAGCCGGCAUGGAUAGAUCUCAGUUAGGGCCCAUAGUGCAUGCUAAAUGCAGGACCGAAUCUAAUGUGGUUCCCUCAGAAAGUUUUGACCAAGAUGAACAAAGGGGAGUUAGUGAAGAAGGUAGUCAAAGAAAACGAUUGCGGAGCUAGCCUAGAUGGAUGUCUAUACUCUCGCUGUAGCUUAUACAAGUUUUUCCAAAUGAUCGCUUGUUCUCACAGUAGUAUAGCUAGAAUGACUUGGCUUAUGCUUGAAUCAUUGUAUAUUUUUAAAAUGGAAAAUUUCAUGCGCAAUAUGUAUAUUGCAAUCUAAAAGAGGCCAACCUUCAUCUUCUUUGCUGUGGAAUUUCCUUUUAAGUCUUAGAUCUAAAUCCUCAUCUUUAAAGGAUCAAUAAUUUGAGUGGGAGUCCUACCUGCCCAUUACAUCUAUGCUAUGCUGUGUUUGACUUGACAUCUGCAGGGCGUUGAAUGGAGCUGUAGUUGCGGCUAUCAGAUCUUGCUCGAUGUUUAUUUCCAUUCAAAUGGAAGCCAAGAUACUCGCUAUGGACCAUGGACCAUGGAUCACUCUUGUUUCUGGUUUUACUUCUUUUUUUAAGUUUUUUUUUUGGGGGUGGGAGUUCAAAUUGUUAUGAAGUUUGAUUCAGAGUUUGUACUUGGACAAUUCUUGAACAAUACAGUAUGUUGAACUAUGAUAGUUA